GGCCUCUCGGGUCUAAGCCCAAGCCCGGACUCUGGAACCCAAACGACGACGACGAGGGUGAGGGCGAGCGUCGUCUUCUACAUCGAUUUGGGGCUUCGCCUUCUUCUCGUUUUCUCUGUUGAACGUCCCGUGGCUCCGAUUCUGCCCUAGUUUGUGGGGCAUGCAACCGCCGGUUCCAUCUUCAUUGCAUCAAUGGGUAAAUUCACAUGCUUCGCAGGCUUUUGCCCCAUGUGUCGCAGGAAGUGACAAUUCAAAGAUUGAGAAAAAAACAUUGGAAUCACUCUUAAGUGCAGGGGUUGCAAAUGCAGGCUUGCAAUUGUUAUACUGGUUGAUAUAAAGCGAACACCUCCUCUGUAUAUCUAUUGAGUAUUAGUUGAUGUAAACUAAAGUAGCUCCAUCUCUAGGUUUCAAUUUUUUAUCGUUUAUUGUAUUCCUCCAUAAACCGCAUUUUUGUUUA